ensembl:lncRNA
UCCAAAUUCCCUGAAACAGAGUGAGUGCACAGACAGAGGAAGGCCAGGAGCGUAAUGCUCAUAAACUCCAGCCACCGGGAAAGAAACUUCAGGAGUGAGGAGUGAAGUCCAUACUUCCCAGCGGUGAGGACUCUGUAGUUCGUUUCUGACCCACAAGCACUCGCAGAUUUGGGAAGUACAGCAAAUCCUAUCCUCCCCUUAAAUUCAGGUAUUCUGACUCAAAAGCUGAGGCAUCCUUGCCCUCUUACUCCCCGGCCUGCAUCACAAACUCUAAGGAAUAAACUCUGGGACGGAGAUUUGACUCUCGGGUGUGGUGUAAUUUAGGGAUGCCUGCCACAGCAUGGUUUGACAAGCGGUGCCAUGUCUGCACCCAGGAUCCGAACCAGUGAACCCUGGGCUGCUGAAGUGGAAUGUGCAAGUUUAACUACUGCGCCACCAGUGGUCCGUAUGCCUGUCGUUAUGCCAGUACCACACCAUUUUGAUUACUGCCGGAGGCAGAAUCAACAUUUGAUCGGCUGUUUGACAGGGUCCAGCCAAUGAGAAGAGCUGAGGGGUGCAGGGCGCGCCUCCGCAAGAAAAUGAAAAGCCAGCCUUCCCCCAAGCUAUGCUGAACUUUAAAAACUUGUUUUUCUUCUCUUUGUCUUAUACCCCACUUUCCUACUCAUGCUGUAAUUUUCCAGAUGGCCGCUUUAGAGAAAAGGGCAUGCUCCCCCCACGAGGUUGGUACUGAGAAAAUUAUGUGACCACCUGCGCAUAGUCUUCAGGAUAUCGCAAGGGGCAAGUUCCCCCUGAGGCACAUAGAUAGUGGGAGAACAUUCCUCCCUAAUGAGGGGUUCAUACUGAAGAGAGUAUUUGGAUCAAAGCAGUUGCCUCCUUCUAGUUAAUGUUUUGCUAUUCCUCCACUUUCCCUGAUAAGAAUAGAUAUACCACUUCCUCUGUAGUUAAUUAGAAAAUUCCUCCAUAUGUUAGUUAUUGAAAAUAUAUUGUUCCUUUCAAUGUGUUUCGCAAGACUUUAUAGAAGUCUUUUUCUUAGAAACUGCUGAUAAUAGAUAUUACUGAAGUCGCUUUUGUGCAGGAAAAGAUAGUUAACCUCGGCCCCCCCUAAAAGUUAACUCUGUUCCCUGUAAGAUUAUACAUAUCAAUGAUUGCCUUUUGGUUUACUCUGCAAGAACAUCUGUACUGCUAUAUUUAUCCCCUGCUAAAAAAGAUAUAAAAACGCUGUGAAAACCCAGUAAAGCUAGACUUGCUUGCACCG